rnacentral:misc_RNA from 1 species
UCCGGCUUAUCACCGGCAGUUUCCUUAGAGUGCCCAGCAUAACCUGUUGGUAACUAAGGAUAAGGGUUGCGCUCGUUGCGGGACUUAACCCAACAUCUCACGACACGAGCUGACGACAGCCAUGCAACACCUGUACUAGUCCGGCCGAACCGACGACCUACUUUCAUAGAUCUACGACUAGUAUGUCAAGGCCUGGUAAGGUUUUUCGCGUAGCAUCGAAUUAAACCACAUGUUCCACCGCUUGUGCGGGUCCCCGUCAAUUCCUUUAAGUUUUAGUCUUGCGACCGUACUCCUCAGGCGGAGUGCUUAAUGCGUUAGCUACUACACUGAAGCUGAUGCCCCAAUAUAUAGCACUCAUCGUUUACGGCGUGGACUAC